GGAGAAGUGGCCGAGCGGUCUAAGGCACUCGUUUGCUAAACGAGCGGGGCGCAAGUCCUGCCCUGGUUCGAAUCCAGGCUUCUCCGCCA
rnacentral:tRNA from 2 species